UACGUAGGGCGCGAGCGUUGUCCGGAAUCACUGGGCGUAAAGGGCGCGUAGGCGGCCAUUCAAGUCGGAGGUGAAAGCCCAGGGCUCAACCCUGGAAUUGCCUUCGAUACUGGCUGGCUAGAGUCCGGAAGAGGUAAGUGGAACUGCGAGUGUAGAGGUGAAAUUCGUAGAUAUUCGCAAGAACACCAGUGGCGAAGGCGGCUUACUGGUCCGGUUCUGACGCUGAGGCGCGAAAGCGUGGGGAGCAAACAGG
rnacentral:rRNA from 1 species